rnacentral:rRNA from 1 species
GAUGAACGCUGACAGAAUGCUUAACACAUGCAAGUCGGUGGGGAAGUGGUGCUUGCACCAUGGCAACCAUGGCGGACGGGUGAGUAACGCGUAAGGGACUUACCUGCAGGACUGGGAUAACAGGGGGAAACUCCUGACAAGACCGGAUAAUGUCAUGGAGCUGCAUGGCUUUAUGAUGAAAGGAGACGCCUGCGGAGAGCCUUGCGUCCUAUUAGCUAGUUGGUGAGGUAAUGGCUCACCAAGGCGAAGAUAGGUAGCCGGCCUGAGAGGGUGGACGGCCACAAGGGGACUGAGAUACGGCCCUUACUCCUACGGGAGGCAGCAGUGGGGAAUAUUGGACAAUGGGGGCAACCCUGAUCCAGCAAUUCUGUGUGCACGAAGAAGGUUUUCGGAUUGUAAAGUGCUUUCAGCAGGGAAGAAGUAAGUGACGGUACCUGCAGAAGAAGCGACGGCUAAAUACGUG